AUUGAACGCUGGCGGCAGGCCUAACACAUGCAAGUCGAACGAGUGGCGGACGGGUGAGUAAUGUCUGGGAAACUGCCUGAUGGAGGGGGAUAACUACUGGAAACGGUAGCUAAUACCGCAUACCAUCGGAUGUGCCCAGAUGGGAUUAGCUAGUAGGUGGGGUAAAGGCUAACCUAGGCGCCGAUCCCUAGCUGGUCGGAGAGGAGGACCAGCAACACUGGAACGUAGACACGGUCCAGACUCCUACGGGAGGCAGCAGUGGGGAAUAUUGCACAAUUGGCGCAAGCCUGAUGCAGCAAUUCCGCGUGUAUGAAGAAGGCCUUCGGGUUGUAAAGUACUUUCAGCGGGGAGGCGUUACCCGCAGAAGAAGCACCGGCUAACUCCGUGCCAGCAGCCGCGGUAAUUC
rnacentral:rRNA from 1 species